rnacentral:piRNA from 1 species
UACCGCUGGUCAAAAGUCAUU